UACGGGGGGCAGCAGUGGGGAAUAUUGGACAAUGGGGGAAACCCUGAUCCAGCGACGCCGCGUGUGUGAAGAAGGCUUGCGGGUUGUAAAGCACUUUUAGUGGGGAUGAAAAGCUCAGGGAUAACACCUCUGGGUCUUGACCUAACCCACAGAAAAAGCACCGGCUAACUCUGUGCCAGCAGCCGCGGUAAUACAGAGGGUGCGAGCGUUAAUCGGAAUUACUGGGCGUAAAGCGUGCGUAGACGGUUACGUAAGUCGGGUGUGAAAGCCCCGGGCUCAACCUGGGAAUUGCAUUCGAGACUGCAUAGCUAGGGUGCGGAAGAGGGAAGCGGAAUUUCCGGUGUAGCGGUGAAAUGCGUAGAUAUCGGAAGGAACACCAGUGGCGAAAGCGGCUUCCUGGUCCAGCACCGACGUUCAGGCACGAAAGCGUGGGGAGCAAACAGGAUUAGAUACCCCAGUAGUCAUCUUUCUAGA
rnacentral:rRNA from 1 species